CAUGGCUCAGAUUGAACGCUGGCGGCAGGCUUAACACAUGCAAGUCGAGCGGUAACAGGGGUAGCUUGCUACCCGCUGACGAGCGGCGGACGGGUGAGUAAUUCAUAGGAAUCUGCCCAGUAGUGGGGGAUAGCCCGGGGAAACCCGGAUUAAUACCGCAUACGCCCUACGGGGGAAAGCAGGGGAUCUUCGGACCUUGCGCUAUUGGAUGAGCCUAUGUCGGAUUAGCUAGUUGGUAGGGUAAGAGCCUACCAAGGCAACGAUCCGUAGCUGGUUUGAGAGGAUGAUCAGCCACAUCGGGACUGAGACACGGCCCGAACUCCUACGGGAGGCAGCAGUGGGGAAUAUUGGACAAUGGGGGCAACCCUGAUCCAGCCAUGCCGCGUGUGUGAAGAAGGCUUUCGGGUUGUAAAGCACUUUCAGUGAGGAGGAAAACCUUUGGGUUAAUAACCCUGAGGCU
rnacentral:rRNA from 1 species